rnacentral:misc_RNA from 1 species
UUUGAAAGUAAUCAAGCACCUGCAAUGCCAAGCUUCUGAGCCUUUGGUUCAGUGGUCACAAUCAUUACAGAUAGUAGAUACUCAAUGUGUUCCAACAGAGAGGACUAUUGAGCCAGUGGUUUAGUAUAAUGAGAUUUGACUGCUUUAUUUCCAAGUUUGCGAUCAACAAAACCAAUGGAAAGUAGAAAACUUAUGUACGUCCUUAGACAAAUCGGUGCAAAAAUCAAAGAUGAUAUAUUUUUAACAAUGGAAUACAUAUAAUAUCCUGAUUAAAGUUAGCAAAUAUGAACAUCCAGUCAUUUCAAUGAAAUUGAAACUAGAAAGAGCCACAUCAAGUACAUAAGAAAUACAAUCAGAACCAAUAAACAAAUAAUUGCUAACCUGGUUUAUUCAAAUAAGCAGCAAAAUUAGAUUUUUUGAACAGAACGCACAAGUAAACAAACAUUGUAUAAUUUAAACUUCAUAUCAUGACUGGUCCAGGCAAAGAUUGUACACAUGCAUGUCAUCUUCAGAUCCACACAACCCAAAGAAUUAAUUAAAAAAAAAAAACACCAAUAUCUCCCAUCAUCAUCACCCAUAGUCUCUUUACUUCUCUUCUCUUCUCUGCCCUCAAUCACAAACAAUUUGAGAAAAAAAAAAUAAAAGAAAUUUCAAAUUUUCAAUUGAUAGCAUCACACCUGCGCCUAAUCUCACCUCUCCUUCCCGUCUUGACGCCAUAAACACUAAGCUUCUGCAUUGCUCUUGCAAAAUCUUGAAAGAACUUGUUCUGAUCCUUGGCGUACAUCUCUACAUAGGGCCUGGCCCUUGGAUCGUUAUACAACCCAUGAUCUGACUCUAAUAGCCCCAACCCUUUAGGCAAAUUCUGGAAAUACAAGUUGUCAAACUUGUUUGGGGUCAUUAUAUCAUUGAAGACUGACAAAGUUGGAUUCUUGGGAUAGUCUGCACAGGCCUUCUGCAGCCCCUGAGCAAAUCUUGGAUUGUAAUGGGUAUCAUUGUAUAUGUAAUUGGUGAACUCCUUGCAGUGAGAGAAGCCUAUAGUGUGUGCGCCACUCAACGCCACCAUUUCUUGGAUAUUGAAACCUUUAGAAGCAAAGAUGUUAAUAAUGUUCGACAUGGGCAUGGUAGGUCUUGGCAGAUUCCCUUCUACAUAGGAAGACUUAGAGAUGCGAUAAUCUUUGCGGCCGAGGAGCACAUUGUAGUAAGGACCACCAACCAUGGUGACGAGAUCACGAGUGGCGACAGCAAGGAUAUCAGCGCAGGAGACGGUGUUGGGGCACGAAAGCUCGAGGGCAGUCUUAGCACGAGUGACGAGGUCGAAGGCGUCGCCGGGGAGGGAGAGGUUGAUGUCGGCAUCACGCUCGGCAGAGUUGAAGGGAGUAGAAGAGAUAAGGAUGGAAGCGUCGCAGCCGUUGAGGAGACAAUCAUGAAAGAAGAGGCGGAGAGUGCCGGCGGCUGUGGUGGGGCUGGUGAUUUGCUUGUUGGUAAUGGUUUCUUGGAUGAUUUGAGUGAAUCUUGGACAGGAUUUAUCGUAGUAGUCGUAGGAGAGUCUGGAUUCGGAGAGGAAUGUGAGAGAAGAGAGGGAAAUGAUUAUGAGAAUGAGGAAUAAUGACGGCGGCUUUGCCAUGGUGCUUAUUCCUCGAUGGAGAGAGACAGAGAGAGAGGAGAGCUUUUUAGCUAGGGACGGAGGUGGAAAGUGGUGAGGGUGUGAGUGGGAUUAGAUGGGAGGGGAGGGUUUCAGUCUGGAGUUUGGACAAUGAGAGAUAGGAGAGUGCACGCGCCAGGGCCAUUCUCUUCACCACCACCAAUUACGUUAUGUGUGCUGGACAUGGACCCACCAGCGAAGGGCUUUUUUGGCAUUCCACUAGGAAGUAUAUAAAUUAACUAUUUAACAUUUCAUUUUGAAAAUAUAUUAAUUAGUUUAUAUUUUUUAUUCUAUUUAUUCAUUAAUCAAGUCAG